rnacentral:rRNA from 1 species
AAAUUUUCUCUGCCCAAUGAUAAAUUAAAUGGCCGCGGUAUUUUGACUGUGCAAAGGUAGCAUAAUAAAUAGUUUUUUAAUUGAAGACUAGAAUGAAUGAGAGGAUGAAAUUUUAACUGUCUCAAUUUAAUUAUAAAAUUUUAUUUUAAGUUAAAAUUCUUAAAUAAAUUUAAGGGACGAGAAGACCCUAUAGAAUUUAAAAAUUAAAUUUAAUUUUAGAGUUAAUAUUAUAUUGAAAUUAUUUAAAGAUUUUUUUAUUGGGAUGAUAUUUAAAUUUAAAUAACUUAAAAUUAUUAAAUUCAAUGAUUAAUGAAUUUAAGAAUAAAUUUAAUAAAUAAAAGAUAAAAUUACCUUAGGGAUAACAGCGUAAUAAAUUUUUAAAGUUCAAAUUAAAAAAUUUGAUUGCGACCUCGAUGUUGAAUUAAAAUAAAAUUUAAGUGGAGAAGCUUAAAAUUUAAGUCUG